UUAAUCAAAACUUAAAAUUUUAUUUGUCAGGUAAAAUUGUAUUCUGCCAAUUACAUAAUAAAUCAUCAGGAAGCCAAUUCAGAGAUGAGACUGUAACAAUACAACAUCCAUUUAUCAAAGAUAAAUCAAAGAGUUAAGAGAUGCAUACCUGACCACAGAAAUACAUUGCAGCAUAAGUCUCAGAGAUGCUGCAAUGGGGUAGCAUCUUAUCAAGAUCUUAUAGAAGUCAAAAACCAAAUCAACAUAUACCAGUAAAAUAUUACUGUAAACUUAAGACCACUUUACCAAUCACACAGAGACAUUUAAAAUGAUACCAAACAUGAAUAUAGUGAUGCAAGAUACACCAUAUUAAAACCUUGAACAUUUUAUGUGAAAUGUGCUCUAAUCAGAAGGUAACAUAAGGGUCAAGAAGGGGGGUUUAAGUGGAAGGAGAAGGGGGACUUCUUCGCAUUACCCCCUGCUGUUGAGUAGCUCUGUUUCUCCAGCCUGUGAUUGCAUUGUCAACAGUGAUUUGAAUAGAACAGUGGAACAGUUGGUUUCUUCAUCACUUCUCAGAUUAGAAAAUCUAUUGGAACAUUGCAUCUUGUCUCAUGAAAUUCCAUAACAGUUCUUAUGGUCUGAUAUUUUGGAUCCUUACAGUCCUCCCCUGGUCCCUUGGAGCAAUUCUGAGCAGUCUCUAAGGGAACACAAGAUCAUUUAGAUGGCUUUGGCGAGCGUUGGUAGUUGUAGUAUAGCAUUGUAGUAGCGAUGUCAUCACCUGAAAUCACAACAUUAAAAGCAGCUUCAACAUUAAAAUGGAGUUAUGUUGCUGAACCCCACAGUCUCUUUAGUUGUAGACAUACGGUGUUGAGCUUGGGCUCAAGUG
ensembl:processed_transcript